rnacentral:rRNA from 1 species
UACGGGGGGGGCAAGCGUUGUUCGGAAUUACUGGGCGUAAAGGGCUCGUAGGCGGCCAACUAAGUCCGACGUGAAAUCCCCAGGCUUAACCUGGGAACUGCGUCGGAUACUGGAUGGCUUGAAUUCGGGAGAGGGAUGCAGAAUUCCAGGUGUAGCGGUGAAAUGCGUAGAUAUCUGGAGGAACACCGGUGGCGAAGGCGGGUCUCUGGGCCAUAACUGACGCUGAGGCGCGAAAGCUAGGGGAGCAAACGGG